GAUGAACGCUGACAGAAUGCUUAACACAUGCAAGUCUACUUGAAUUUGGGUUUUUUCCCUUCGAUUUGGGUGGCGGACGGGUGAGUAACGCGUAAAGAACUUGCCUCACAGUUAGGGACAACAUUUGGAAACGAAUGCUAAUACCUGAUAUUAUGAAUAUAUGGCAUCAUAUAAUUAUGAAAGCUAUAAGCGCUGUGAGAGAGCUUUGCGUCCCAUUAGCUAGUUGGAGAGGUAACGGCUCACCAAGGCGAUGAUGGGUAGCCGGCCUGAGAGGGUGAACGGCCACAAGGGGACUGAGACACGGCCCUUACUCCUACGGGAGGCAGCAGUGGGGAAUAUUGGACAAUGGACCAAGAGUCUGAUCCAGCAAUUCUGUGUGCACGAUGACGUUUUUCGGAAUGUAAAGUGCUUUCAGUUGGGAAGAAAAAAAUGACGGUACCAACAGAAGAAGUGACGGCUAAAUACGUG
rnacentral:rRNA from 1 species